rnacentral:lncRNA from 1 species
CUACCUAUCUCUCCCGCAAGCACCCAUGUACCCCCAAUCUCUCUGUCGUGCCCUCUUUCCCCGCCAUGGACGAAGGAGCUCCAGCAACCGCGUCUGAAAUUCGUCACGUGUUGAGCCUCUCCUCCCCCCAUGAGCACUCCAUCGCCUUGUCAUUCCCCUUGCGUAGCCCCGGCACUUCCAUUUCCAUCCCAGGACACUCUGUGCUUGAACCGGAGGUGGCUGACGACCUCUCCUACUGUCGUCCAUGUGGCACCGUUGCGGUCCUCCCCCGCAGGCACUCGACGCAGGAACGGAGGCGGCAAGACCUGCUGAUCCCACUAGUGUGCCAGGCCUUGCCGGAGAUGGCCGAUGGAGCAAGCCCUGACGUGCGCCCGGUCCCCC